GAAGUUCUCGGAAUGUGUAGUGUAGCGGUGAAAUGCUUAGAUAUUACACAGAACACCGAUUGCGGAGGCAGGGGACUAACAGACGAUUGACGCUGAGAGACGAAAGCGUGGGGAGCGAACAGGAUUAGGUACCCUGGUAGUCCACGCUGUAAACGAUGGAUACUAGCUGUUUGGAGUAAUUUGAGUGGAUAAGCGAAAGUGAUAAGUAUCCCACCUGGGGAGUACGCACGCAAGUGUGAAACUCAAAGGAAUUGACGGGGGCCCGCACAAGCGGUGGAGCAUGUGGUUUAAUUCGAUGAUACGCGAGGAACCUUACCAAGGUUUAAAUGGAGACUGACAGGGGCAGAGAUGCCUUUUUCUUCGGACAGUUUUCAAGGUGCUGCAUGGUUGUCGUCAGCUCGUUCCGUGAGGUGUCAGGUUAAGUCCUAUAACGAGCGCAACCCCUAUUGUUAGUUACCAGCAAGUAAAGUUGGGGACUCUAGCAAGACUGCCGGUGUAAACCGUGAGGAAGGUGGGGAUGACGUCAAAUCAUCACGGCCCUUACAUCUUGGGCUACACACGUGCUACAAUGGUCGUUACAGAGAGCAGCCACUGCGCGAGCAGGAGCGAAUCUAUAAAGACGGUCACAGUUCGGAUCGGAGUUUGCAACUCGACUCCGUGAAGCCGGAAUCGCUAGUAAUCGGAUAUCAGCCAUGAUCCGGUGAAUACGUUCCCGGGCCUUGUACACACCGCCCGUCAAGCCAUGGAAGCUGGGAGUACAGUGAAGUCGGUUGCCGCAAGGAGCUGCCUAGGGUAAAACCUGUGUCUGGGGCUAAGUCGUAACAAGGUAGCCGUAAUU
rnacentral:rRNA from 1 species